rnacentral:ncRNA from 1 species
GCGGGCAGAUGAAGUGCACGUGGCAGUCGAUGCCGCCGGCGGUGAGGAUCUUCCCGUUCCCGGACAACACCUCGGUCGCCGGUCCGAUCACCAGGUCCGGGUGGACCCCGUCCAUGGUGUCGGGGUUGCCGGCCUUGCCCAACGC